GCCCCGGUAGCUCAGUUGGAUAGAGCAACGGCCUUCUAAGCCGUGGGUCAGGGGUUCAAAUCCUCUCCGGGGCGCCA
rnacentral:tRNA from 1 species